GUAGGCUACGGGGAUAUGGUCCCGACCACCAUCGGCGGCAAGAUCGUGGGCUCCCUCUGCGCCAUCGCUGGUGUGCUCACCAUCGCCCUGCCCGUGCCUGUCAUCGUGUCCAAC
rfam:Gasterosteus aculeatus cont1.007472, whole genome shotgun sequence.